GUGCACCCAGCUCGGGAAGCCUUCCUUUCUAGUCUCUACAGCUGUUUCCCUCUUUUUCCAUCUCAUUCUUCCCUCUUCAUUUCUGGCCUGUCUUUUAACAACUCCAUCCCUUUGAUGCCUCAUCCAUCUCCUCUUCACCGUCUUGUCUUUGCCUGUUCCCUUCUCUGCUUCUCUCUGCUCCUCUCACGGCUGGGUUUUUCUCCUGCGUCUCCUCUGUGCGCCUGUGAGUGUCCCCUGUCUGUUCAUCCUCUCUCCCUCUGUCCACCUGUUUCUCUUUCUUCGAGCGUUUCUCCAUCUCACGCGCUGCCUCUGUCAUUUUCUCUUUCUUCGUCUUUCUCUCUCUCUCAUUGUUCUGAGACAUAGCAGUGCCUGACCCAGCCGGGACAACAUGUUUCACAGACAAAUCAUCCAACAAAAGACAGGAGGAACGUGCUUCAGCUGGCUGUCCCCAUGCCUUCUGCUCCCGCUUCUGGAAGGGAAGACAGGGCAGGGACCGUGCCCAGCUGCAGAAAAUCCCAGUGUUUCUCUGUGGCAUUGCCUGGUGAAGGCUGAACGUGGCUUUCGUGAGAGCUAAUCUGCCUGCCCAACCAGAUUAUGCUGUGGCUAAAAUUGCUGUGAGCUCGACAGUCCCUGAAGACUGGAGAAAACUGAGCCGUGUCUUGGAUGCUCUUGCGGGGCCUAGGGGAGUGCCAGGCCAGAAGGAGAACUGCCUGUGGACUCUCAGUAGGAAAGCAGCUAACGGGGUGAUGAGUGAGUGUCGCCUGGAAGUCUGGGGGCCAUUCCAUGUGGGUCACCUCGCCUGACCAGAGGGUUGGGUGCCUGGACAGGGCUGGGCUUGGGACUCCUUCCAGGGCCUGGCCUCAGCUACUGGGCCUGCCAAGCAUGCCCCACAAGCACCCACGCACACAUACAAGUAUGGAGGCAGAGUGGAAGUUUGACCUUUGCAGAUCUCGUACAGCCUGGAGUAGAGAAGAGAAUUGGGAACUCUCAAUGUUGUGUGACCCUAGGCAAGUCCCUUCCCUGUCUUGUGCCUCAGUUUCCCUUUCUAUACCAUGAGGAUGUUCCCAGUGUUGGUGUUUGCAAAUGCCUGCAGACAAGCUAAGCUCAUCAUCUGGUUCCUGGAGGAGAUCCUUCUUUUGUGGAAAGGCCACAGCCACUCUGCCACCCUGAGGCUCCCACUUCUCCUUCCCUGGAACCCUCUCCCUUGCCUGUAGGUCAUGGGAACGUCAAUGAGCACCCAGAGAAGUGCCUGCUGCCAGUCAUCACUCACUGAUUAUGUGACAGCAGAGGAGCCAAGAAGCUGCUGGAAAUUGAGACACCUCCCUAUUCAGUCCCUACCAUCUCUGUCUUCACGAGGUUACCUGGGAGAAGCUCGUAUUUCUGGGAAUGGAAAUGUCUCCACCUGGAUAGGGACAAACAGGAGCUGGGGGCUGCAUCUUAAGACUUCUCGUCCCAUUAGUGCUGACCUCUGGAGACAGCUCCUGAAUUGUGCCCACUCCCCCACCUCCUCACCGCACACAUGCUCUGGGCUGUGCGAGGCUCAGCUUGUCACGGACAAGCUAAAAUGAGGUGGCCUGAAUGCCCCUUAUCAUAGACAGCUUAUCUCCUGUGGUCACUCACCUGACAGACUCCAGAGAGCCACUCAGCGGGCCUCUCCCAGCCGCCUGCUUCUCAGCUCUGACUCUCCCUUGCCUUAAGGGGACACUGGAUUCCAGUGACCCUCCUAUUGGUCAGAGUUGGGCUGAGCACAGAGAAGGGGUAGAAUGCUCCUGGGAACUCAGAAGGCUCUGAGAUGCCAGCUUUUCCCACAUGUUCUCACUCACCCCUCUGUAAUACAGAUUCUGCACCCCUGCCCCCCCGCCCCCACACACACGCACACACUCCUACACCUCUGCUCUCAAAGUGAAGAAAUAGGCUAAUAUCUGUGGUACAUUUAUUUACCUACGCCCUGAGACUGCAGCUCCCUUAGUCAGUGCUGUGUCCUCCCCUCAGACUGGGGCUCCCUGAGGACGGGGCUGCAUCUCCCCUGAUUGGGGCUCCCUGAGGAUGGGGCUGUGUCUCCCCUCAGAUUGGGGCUCCCCGAGGAUACGGCUGUGUCACUCCUCAGGCUGGGGGUCCCUGAGGAUGGGGCUGUGUCUCCCUGCAGACUGGGGCUCCCUGAGGACGGGGCUGUGUCUCCUCUCAGGCUGGGGCUCCUUGAGCAUGGGGCACUUUAAAGAAGAGAAUUGACAGGUUGACCCUUGAGGAUCUUUGGGUCAAUAAAACAUUCUAUAGACCCUCAGUGGUCAGCCUAGGA